UACGUAGGGUGCAAGCGUUAAUCGGAAUUACUGGGCGUAAAGCGUGCGCAGGCGGUUUUGUAAGUUUGUCGUGAAAGCCCCGGGCUCAACCUGGGAAUUGCGAUGAAGACUGCAAGGCUUGAAUCUGGCAGAGGGGGGUAGAAUUCCACGUGUAGCAGUGAAAUGCGUAGAGAUGUGGAGGAAUACCGAUGGCGAAGGCAGCCUCCUGGGCCAACACUGACGCUGAUGAUGCGAAAGCUAGGGGGAGCAAACGGG
rnacentral:rRNA from 1 species